GGAGAGGAUGGUGGACCUAGAUCAGCUUAGGGCUAACCAGGACAGAGCUCCGUUUCUCUUGCUGGGAAAGUAGCCUGAUUGCAGCCCUGAGCCAGCUAGUUUGCCUGCUAGAUCAGCCCUCCUGAGAAGGCAACCACCAGAAGCACAGACUGGGAGACUAGCCCUGAAUACAAGGCUGGGGCCCUACUGAAGGUUUGUAGGCUGAUGCAGGUUUUGAGUUGGGUUUGGUUUUGUUCCAGAUUACCUCUGAACCUCAGAUGCAAGAAAAGAAGUAGGACUGGAGGGUGCUUUGGCUGUUGGGCCAAAAUACCACUUUACUGGACCUCAGUUAGGACAGAGACAUACCCGUGGAGCCUAGCAGCUGGAUAAAGAAGGUGCUUAAAGGAAAUGGUAGUACUGGAAAUAUUGAAAUAUAUAAAGAGAACAUAAAGUACAAUCUGAAUGGAAAGGCUCUAAUAUUCAGCAAAAAGGAGGAACUCUGAAAAAUCACAGGCAUGAAUCUGGCACACUGGGCCAACUUCAACUGUCCUAUUCCUCGGAGUUGGCCUGGAAACUGGUUUUUCCCCAUUCAUCUCUGCCCAGAGCUGCUCUCUCAGAGAUCCUAAUAGCAUGGACAUUAAUUCUUCCCUCAGUUAAAUGGACACAAUUCCUGUUAAAGCUAAAGGGUACCAAAAUGCAGAACUGAAACCAAAGCUUAGCUAUAAAAUGGGUUUAAAAAAAAACCCUUAAAACAUGCUGGCAUAGUGGGUGAAGAGCUACAGCAUAGAUUGGACCUCAGCGAAUCCCUGAGAUCACUCUAGCUCUCUGGGUCUGCUCAAAUGGCAGAUGUUUGAAACUAAACCUACAGCAAAAUGAACAUGUGCUAAAAAGACCUUGUUUUCCAAAACAGAGAAGACUUUCCUGACUGGACUGAAUUUGAGAGGUUCUUUUUAAGUUUAUGUGCACUUUGACUGGCUGACUCAGACUUCACCAUCUCAUAGGUUAUAGUUUAUCUCAAAUCUUAGUUUCCAUCUGUGACGUGGUUAGGGCCAAAGCUGCAGCUGGAGUGGGGCUGCAGUCGCGGUCAGGGCCAGGAGCAGAGUUGGGGGCAGAGCAUGGCUGGGUGGCACUCCCUCCCCAUGGCCUGUGGGUGCUGGCCUGGGCCUUGCUGCAGCCCACUAGGGGGUCUCACCCCACAGUUUGGGGACCACUGCAUUAAAUGCUGUGCUAUUCUCUCACUAAACUCAACAUUUCCAGAAAAGUGUAAUUUGAUGCAAGUUUCGUUGCCAAAUACUCCUGUCUUGAUUAUAGUUCUGAGAAAACAUUAGAAGUGAAAACAGAUGAAUAGGUUUCCCAGACCCUCACUAUCUCCCCAAAUCGUGUGCACCACAGGGAUACUAAGUUUAGCAAGGAUAAGGAGGACCUCCCUUGUUUGUAGAAAUCCCUUAUUAAAAUACUGGCAAAGCAUAAAUGGUUCAUAUAGUUAGUACCAUUUCACUAAUUGCCUAUAACAUACUGUAUCAUUUUACUGUUU